GGACCAUAAACCCGAUUUUGGUCAAAUUAUUUUUCAAUAUGACCAAAAUACCCUCAUAUUUUUUAAUUAUUGAAUUUAUGAAAUAAUCAAAAAUAGGCUUUUAAAUAGAAAAUAAAUUAAAUUAAUUUUAAAAUCUAUUUUUGUAAUAAAAGAAAAAAAAAUUAAAAAUAAUUACUGAAAGGGUUAAUUCAAAUCCCUAAUUUCAUCUUUAAGCCCAAUACUCUCUCAAACACAUCUCCCCCAACACCGUUGUUCUCAACAGUAAUCGGCGCCGCCUUCCACCAUCUUCUUAGGUCUCGUUCUUCCACAUUGAACCUAGUCCGCCCAUUUCACGCAGCUUCGUCUCUCCUAAUCUCUGACCACCAUAACUUCUACUUUCGUCAGCUACCCUCUCUGCUACCCCCACCAAUGAAACUCCGUAGUUAUCCUAGUUCGUGUGUGGCCUGGUAAUUCCACCUCCACCGGCUUUGGUCGUGCUCGAGCAACGAGCUCCAACCUAAAACCCAUGAGCCCAGUUCAAAGACAGCCCCUAUCGAUCACAUUUUUCAGCUUGUGCUCAUGAGUUUGCAAAAGAAUUUUUGAAUUCUCGGAGGGAGAUUGGGAGCCGAAGUCGUCGUGGAUGGGCUGUUGCUGAGACAAUGGCUUGGUACACAGUUUAUCUCAAAAUUUUCUCAUUUCUUGAAUGUAUUUCAGAUUUAGGAGCUCUUGUUGAUGUCAGAUCUGUAAUUUUGUUUCUAUUUGACUUUUGAUUGUGUAUUGUAUAUGCUUCUGAGAUUAUGUUCCCCCAAUUAUGGGUGAGAUAUAAUCUAAUGGUUUGCAAGUUUGAAUUUUUUUU